AUUGAACGCUGGCGGCAUGCCUUACACAUGCAAGUCGAACGGCAGCACGGGUGCUUGCACCUGGUGGCGAGUGGCGAACGGGUGAGUAAUAUAUCGGAACGUACCCUAGUGGGGGGGAUAAAGCCGCGAAAGCUGUGCUAAUACCGCAUAAUCCGUAAGGGGGAGAGCGGGGGACCGUAAGGCGCCGCGCAAUUAGAGCGGCCGAUACCUGAUUAGCUAGUUGGGGAGGUAAAGGCUCACCAAGGCAACGAUCAGUAGCUGGUCUGAGAGGACGAUCAGCCACACUGGGACUGAGACACGGCCCAGACUCCUACGGGAGGCAGCAGUGGGGAAUUUUGGACAAUGGGGGCAACCCUGAACCAGCAAUGCCGCGUGAGUGAAGAAGGCCUUCGGGUUGUAAAGCUCUUUUGUCAGGGAAGAAACAGCAGCUCUAACACAGUAUGCGAAUGACGGUACCUGAAGAAUAAGCACCGGCUAACUACGUGCCAGCCGCCGCAGUAA
rnacentral:rRNA from 1 species